CCGCGCUGACACCGUCUCCCGAACUUUCCGUCACGGCGGGACAACCGUCAAAGUAAAUGUCCGCUUUCUGAUUUAUUUCCAUUUCCCUCCGAGGGAAGUUGGGGCGUUUGUGAAGCGUCUCCUGCGGCCGGAGUCUGAUGUGUCGCUGAGAGAUUCACAGGUGAAGUGUCGCCUCACCUGGAAGGAUGUUUGGACAACGGAGAGAGUUCGGCCGUCCGGCCCUUUCACUGUGACACCCCGAACUCCACAUCAAAUCCGUCCACACGAAUCUGGGUGAACUUUAAUGACCAAUAAAUAUAAUUCCUCUCAGCGA